rnacentral:tRNA from 1 species
GGGGUUGUGGCUCAGUGGCAGAACAUCUGCAUGGCAUGCAGACGGUCCCGGGCUCAAACCCUGAAGCCUCCU